GACGAACGCUGGCGGCGUGCCUAAUACAUGCAAGUCGAACGCACUCUCGUUUAGAUUGAAGGAGUUUGCUCCUGAUUGAUAAACAUUUGAGUGAGUGGCGGACGGGUGAGUAACACGUGGGUAACCUGCCCUAAAGUGGGGGAUAACAUUAGGAAACAGAUGCUAAUACCGCAUAAAAACUAACACCGCAUGGCGUAGGGUUGAACGAUGGUUUCGGCUAUCACUUUAGGAUGGCCCCGCGGUGCAUUAGUUAGUUGGUGAGGUAAAGGCUCACCAAGACCGUGAUGCAUAGCCGACCUGAGAGAGUCAUCGGCCACACUGGGACUGAGACACGGCCCAGACUCCUACGGGAGGCAGCAGUAGGGAAUCUUCCACAAUGGACGAAAGUCUGAUGGAGCAACGCCGCGUGAGUGAAGAAGGUUUUCGGAUCGUAAAACUCUGUUGUUGGAGAAGAAUGUAUCUGAUAGUAACUGAUCAGGUAGUGACGGUAUCCAACCAGAAAGCCACGGCUAACUACGUG
rnacentral:rRNA from 1 species